UAGGGGGGUAUUAAUAAGUAAUUAAAAUAAUAAAAAAAUUUUUAUAAUAAAAUAUGUUUAAUGGGGGUUAAGGUAUUUUAAAAGAAAAAAUUUUAAGGUUUAUAGAGUAUUAGUAUUGUUAAAGAAUUUUGAAAUAUAUGAAAUAUAUAAUUAUUUUAAAAGUAAUUUUUAUUUAAUGUAUCUUGGGUAUCAGAGUUUAUUAAUAAAAUUUUUUAGGGGGAAAUUUCUCGAAUUUAAAAGAGAGAAUUAAUUAAUAAAGUUAUUGUGGUAAAAAUAUUUUUAAUAAUUAAUUUGAAAUGAAAUGUUAAUCGUUUUUAAAUAUAUCUGGUUUUUUUAGAAAAAAAUUUAAUUUUGAAUUUUUAGUUAAAUUUAAAUUAUUUGUGAUUUAAUUUUAAGAAAAGUUUUAUAUUUUAGGGGAUAAGCUUUAAAUUAAAGUUAUAUAAAUUAAGUUUGAAUAAGUUUUUGAAAUUUUUAUGAUUUAUAUUGUUAAUAAAUUUUAAUUUAUUAUAAAUAAUUUCAUUGAAAUUAAAAUUUAAAAUAAAGAUUUUAUUUUUCUAUAAAAAAAUAAAUUUAAAUUUGAAAAAUUUAGUUAUAAUGAUAAAAUUAGUAUAUAAAUUAAUUGUGAAAUAUUUAUUAAAAUUAAUUAAUUAAUUUUAAGGAAUUCGGCAAAAUUUUAUAUUCACUUGUUUAUCAAAAACAUGUCUUUUUGAAAAAUAAUUUAAAGUCUAAUCUGCCCACUGAUUUAUAAUUAAAGGGCUGCAGUAUUUUGACUGUACAAAGGUAGCAUAAUCAAUAGUCAUUUAAUUGGUGACUUGAAUGAAGGAUUGGAUGAAAUAUAGACUGUCUUAAAAUUAAAUAAAUAAAAUUUAAUUUUUUAAUUAAAAAGUUAAAAUAUGUUAAAAAGACGAGAAGACCCUAUAGAGUUUUAUAUUUUAUUUAUAUAAAAUUAUUUGUAAAAUUUAUAUAUUUUAAAUUAGUUAAAUAUUUGAUUGGGGUGAUUAAAAAAUAUAAGUAACUUUUUUUAUAUGUUUACAUAGAUUAAUGAGUUUGUGAUCCAAUUUUAUUGAUUAUAAGAAAAAAUUACCUUAGGGAUAACAGCGUAAUUUUUUUUUUUAGUUCGUAUAAAAAAAAGAGUUUGCGACCUCGAUGUUGGAUUAAGAUAAAAUUUAAGUGUAAAAGUUUAAAAUUUUGAUCUGUUCGAUCAUUAAAAUCUUACAUGAUCUGAGUUCAAACCGGUGUGAGCCAGGUUGGUUUCUAUCUUUUAAUUUAAAAGAUUAUUUUAGUACGAAAGGAAUAAAUAUUUAAAUUAAAUUUAUAUAGAGAAUUUUAUUAAUUUAUUUUUUAGAUUUUAGUAGUAAUUUGUAUUUUAUUUAAUAAUAACAUAUUUGUU
rnacentral:rRNA from 1 species